rnacentral:rRNA from 1 species
AUUGAACGCUGGCGGAAUGCUUUACACAUGCAAGUCGAACGAUGAAGCCUAGCUUGCUAGGUCGAUUAGUGGCGAACGGGUGAGUAAUAUAUCGGAACGUAUCCAAUAAUGGGGGAUAACUAGUCGAAAGAUUCGCUAAUACCGCAUACGCCCUACGGGGGAAAGCGGGGGAUCGUAAGACCUCGCGUUAUUGGAGCGGCCGAUAUCUGAUUAGCUAGUUGGUGAGGUAAAGGCUCACCAAGGCGACGAUCAGUAGCUGGUCUGAGAGGACGACCAGCCACACUGGAACUGAGACACGGUCCAGACUCCUACGGGAGGCAGCAGUGGGGAAUUUUGGACAAUGGGGGGAACCCUGAUCCAGCCAUUCCGCGUGAGUGGAGAAGGCCUUCGGGUUGUAAAGUUCUUUCGCAAGGGAAGAAAACUUACUUACUAAUACUAGGUGAGGCUGACGGUACCUUGAUAAGAAGCACCGGCUAACUACGUGCCAGCCGCCGCUGUAACAC